rfam:Vigna angularis cultivar Jingnong 6 scaffold647_3, whole genome shotgun sequence.
AGGUGCGAUCAUACCAACACUAAUGCACCGGAUCCCAUCAGAACUGCGCAGUCAAGCGUGCUUGAGCGAGAGUAGUACUAGGAUGGGUGACCUCCUGGGAAGUCCUCGUGUUGCACCUC